ensembl:snoRNA
GAUGCCAUGGCACUCUACCCAGGGGGAUAGCUUGAGGCUCUGUCUCAAAAAAAAAAAAAAAGAAUUAUCUUUCUAUGGUCUGUUGGCCAUUUCAGAAGUUUGGAAAUGUAAUGGUCAAUUAAUUAGAAAGAAACAGUA